CAGCAGCCGCGGUAAGACAGAGGAUGCAAGCGUUAUCCGGAAUGAUUGGGCAUAAAGCGUCUGUAGGUGGCUUUUCAAGUCCGCCGUCAAAUCCCAGGGCUCAACCCUGGACAGGCGGUGGAAACUACCAAGCUGGAGUACGGUAGGGGCAGAGGGAAUUUCCGGUGGAGCGGUGAAAUGCGUAGAGAUGUGGAGGAACACCAGUGGCGAAGGCGACUCUCUGGUCUGUAACUGACGCUGAGGAGCGAAAGCGUGGGGAGCGAACAGGAUUAGAUACCCCCGUAGUCCCUGUCUCUUAUAC
rnacentral:rRNA from 1 species